rnacentral:misc_RNA from 1 species
UAUCCAGCAAUUUCAUCAGCCCCACCAGCUUAGUGGUUCACCCUAAUCCAUUCAUAACGGCCAGAAAGCGGUACAUCAUUUACCACAUCAAAGUUGUACUUCUCCAUAAAAAGGCGUUGUUGUUGCUGCUCAGCAAAGGUGAAAAACUCCUCGAUUUCAUGAGCUGAAGGGAUAUUUCUAAGGAUAAAGUUCCUUCUUCUUUGAGUUGUGUUUAACUCUGUUCG